GUAUGUAGGCUUAAACCUACCGCACAGACUUUUGGGAAAGUGAUGACAUUCCCCUUGGUCUGAAGCUCUGGUGGAUUUUAAAUCCACAGAGGGAGGUGACUAAAUAGAAUGGGAGCUACAGCUUGCUGAGUCUGUGGUGUUAGCCCACUCUUAGCUCAUUAAAGCAGAUGCUCUGCAAAUUGAUUUAAACCAUUGUUUUGGGAGACCGUGGGGCUAAUUCCUGGGAAGAGAGGACACUAGUGUGAUGAUGGGGUGAACCAGCCAAGGCUCUGGAAGCUGUGUCAGUUUCAGGUGUUCAGCAGAAACCUGUCUGUUCUUAAAGGCUGCCGGCUGACGUGUUCCAGCUGAGAAAACCCAUCUCAUCCAGGCCCGCAGCCGCGAGCUCCACUGUGGCGGAUGCAGGGGCCCAGGCCCAGCCCAGGGCGAGCCACAGGGCUGUGGGCCCUGUGGGCAUGGCCCAGGUCCCCAGUGAGCUCCAGUGGUCCUCUCCCUGCGCGUCCUGCUGCUUCUCUGGAGCACCCCUACGCUCUCCUCCCUGCUCUCUUCGAGCUCACACACCUGUCUGAUGUGCCGGUGCACCCCAGGGGCACUGUGAGGAGCGUUUGACUGGGUGGGGAAGGUUCUAGCUGCCAGGGUGACUCAGGAAAAUAUCACCAACCAAGGCUUUCCACCUGGGGCUGGAAGUGGGCCCAGGACGAAAAAAGGACCAGACCGAAGUGUGUCCCCCCGAGCUCGUGCCGUCCUGGGGCCACGGGCCGGAGUGAGCCUGUCAGCACCCCGCAGACCGCUGCUUCGGGCUUGAGACACCGUCCAACUCCUUGGAGAAGGUGGGAGGAAAACGACGCUUCUUCCAGCCAGGCGGCCCGGUCCUCUGCAGAGGUCACUUCACUUCUACGACACCCACAGGGCGUGGCUCUGUGUUCCGGGAAUCGGUGUCUCUGCUAAGGGCUCACACCUGGAUUUCUGGAGCCGGCAGGUAGGACCUCCUGGUCUCAGUGACUGGGGCCGCCUCUCGCUGAGGUGGGGGCAGCCUUGGUGUCGGCUCCUUUUCUCAUUUUCCUUCCCAUUAGGUGGAGCGGGUCGUACGUUGCCACCUCCCUGCCUCUGGGACGUAUCCGGACUGUAUCCCUGUUUAUCCGGACGUCGUUAGGGCCGUGAGGCACAUGCCGGGUCGCCCCUUUACUGAACAUGCAGCCUGGAUGGGCUUCCGACUGUCUCGAGGACUGCUCUGUGGGCGAAGACAGAGGCAGGCUUAAAGCCAAAUCAGCAAGCACCUCCAGGUGGCUAGUCCUUCACAUUCAGGCCAGAAACUCGUCAGGAGCAAAGCCCCAAGAAGACGAACUAGCACUAAUUAGUGACGUGAGACAGACAUAGAGGAGCAAAUACUGUUUCCUCUCACUCGUAUGAGGCACCUGAACAGUCAAGUUCACAGAGACAGAAAGUGUAUGGUUGGAGGGGUCGGGGGC
ensembl:lncRNA